AAAGUCGUAACAAGGUAACCGUAGGUGAACCUGCGGUUGGAUCAUUAAAAAAAUAAAGAUUGCGGAGCACUCUCAUUGAAAAGUGAAAGUGCGUUUGUACGCCACAUCUUGUGAACUUGUAAACGUCUCUGGCGAGGGGGAAAGCAAACUCUUUGCGGUUUUUGCUUUUCCGUCAGCUCCGAAUCCUUUUUUGCCUUCUCGGGUCGAAAGGGUUAGAGCCGUGGACAUCUCGCCAACCGCCUCCGUUUGGGAAUGAGAACACUUUCGUUCUUUGACCUCUUUCGGGUGGCGUCCUUUUUUGGUCACUUUCUGUAAUUGCUUUGGGAAUUGAUUCUAAAUGGUUGUGAAAAUAAACAAAUGAUAUUUAAAACAACUUUUGGCAACGGAUCUCUUGGCUCUC
rnacentral:misc_RNA from 1 species